UAGGGCUGGGAGUGGGUGGUGGUGGUGGAAAAAAAAUGCUGCUUUUCCUGCUAUCUCUAAGAAAAGGAGGUGAUGGCAUGGGGAAGAGCCUUGCGGGUCGUGUUUUGAACUUCUCUUGGCGCUUGUACGACAUCCCAGAUCGGAAACGAAACUAACCCACCCCAGCCCCCUUUUUAAGGAAAAACAAUUGCCCCUGUGUCACGGGCAAGUACGAGUCCCGCGGCGCGUGGAGCAGAAAAUGGCUAGCUUUAAGUCAUGCAAAUAAAGGAAACCGCCAGCUCUCUCUUCUACCCUUUUAUCUUGGGGCUGCUGGGUGUUCCCUUAGAUGGGGAAUUUAGAACUUCAAAAGCUCCGGAAAGGUUUGGAAGAGAAUCUUAGAAACCGCGACCCAGCUCUGAAUUGUUAACUGGUGGCGUUAUCAGCCAUGUGCCGCUUUUGCUUUUAGCGGCGAAAAUCACGCCACACGAGCUUCCGGGCAAAUGAAAUUGAAUCUCCGAAGGAAUCUAAAGCCCUGCUUCAUCCUAUAGACGUUCAAGAGAAAUUCACUGAAUGAAUGAAUGCAUGCUGUCUUGUGCUUAAAACUCCUAACUUGCCGGGAGCUACCUGUUUAGAAGCUCAGGAAGAACUGGACCAGAGUUGUCUUAAAGGAUCUGCGUGCCUCAGACUGUUCUUAUCCCAGUCACACUGCUAAACACAGAAUGAGGAAACUAUGCCACAAAAAGCUGAAGCAACUUGCCCGAAGUCACAUGCUAGCAUGCAUAUUCAACCCAGUUGAGCACUAGAGUCUGUGCUGGGAGAAACGCUGAGUUAACAAGGAUAAUAGACACAUAGCGUUACUGUUGAAUAUUUAGCCAUGCUCCAGUUCUAUGAGGCUUGAUGGUUCAGAAGUUUCCUGCAUUUCCUUCA